rfam:Myotis brandtii contig207288, whole genome shotgun sequence.
GCCGGGUUGGCUCAGUGGAUAGAGCAUCAGCCUGCGGACUGAAGGGUACAGGGUUCGAUUCCCGGUCAGGGCA